rnacentral:misc_RNA from 1 species
UAAUCAUGUUUUGGAUUUGUAACUGCAAGACCAGAGCAAAUUUGUUGAGAGAAAUGAAAAUUAUGAAGUUGAUAUGUUUGCUAUGAAUGUCUAUUGGGUAAACAUGAUACAUGUAUUUUUUGAGUCGUUAUCCCUAUUUGAUUACUUGUUGAUUCUUUUGCUUUUAAGUAAAAGGUUAAACGACAGUUUGCUCUGUCCUCUUUAUCCUAUUGAUAGUUUUAUUUGUGCCAUGCCAUACCUGUACUCUACAUCUGUAUCCAUGCUUCCUAGACUAACUACUAAAGAUUGAUAAAUUGUUGUUUCAACGUAUCAUUUCUGAGUGAAUAAAAAUUUCUCAUUUCGGUUGAUGAAGAGAUGGAGGGUUCUUCUCUUUAUUUGUGUUGAAUUUUUAGAAAGGAAAGAAGAAAAGGGAGAGAAAG